GAUGAACGCUGACAGAAUGCUUAACACAUGCAAGUCUUUGGCGAAGCUGUGCUUGCACAGCCUAGCCAAGGCGGACGGGUGAGUAACGCGUAAGGAACUUGCCCUGCAGUCAGGGAUAACAGACGGAAACGACUGAUAAGACCUGGUAAAGUCAGGCGGACGCAUGUCCAGCCUGAUGAAAAGAGAUGCUGCAGGAGAGCCUUGCGUCCUAUUAGCUUGUUGGUGGGGUAACGGCCCACCAAGGCGAUGAUAGGUAGCCGGCCUGAGAGGGUGGACGGCCACAAGGGGACUGAGAUACGGCCCUUACUCCUACGGGAGGCAGCAGUGGGGAAUAUUGGACAAUGGGGGCAACCCUGAUCCAGCAAUUCUGUGUGCACGAUGAAGGUUUUCGGAUUGUAAAGUGCUUUCAGCAGGGAAGAAAAAAAUGACGGUACCUGCAGAAGAAGCGACGGCUAAAUACGUG
rnacentral:rRNA from 1 species